AGAGCGAACGCUGGCGGCAGGCCUAAUACAUGCAAGUCGAACGGACCCUUCGGGGUUAGUGGCGGACGGGUGAGUAACACGUGGGAACGUGCCCUUUGGUUCGGAACAACUCAGGGAAACUUGAGCUAAUACCGAAUGUGCCCCCUCCUUUGAUUAGGGGGGUGGGAAAGAUUUAUCGCCAUUGGAGCGGCCCGCGUCUGAUUAGCUAGUUGGUGGGGUAAAGGCCCACCAAGGCUACGAUCAGUAGCUGGUCUGAGAGGAUGAUCAGCCACACUGGGACUGAGACACGGCCCAGACUCCUACGGGAGGCAGCAGUAGGGAAUCUUGCGCAAUGGGCGAAAGCCUGACGCAGCCAUGCCGCGUGAAUGAUGAAGGUCUUAGGAUUGUAAAAUUCUUUCAGCGGGGACGAUAAUGACGGUACCCGCAGAAGAAGCCCGGCUAACUUCGUGCCAGCAGCCGC
rnacentral:rRNA from 1 species